AGUGAACGCUGGCGGUAGGCCUAACACAUGCAAGUCGAACGGCAGCACAGUAAGAGCUCGCUCUUACGGGUGGCGAGUGGCGGACGGGUGAGGAAUACAUCGGCAUCUACUUUUUCGUGGGGGAUAACGUAGGGAAACUUACGCUAAUACCGCAUACGACCUACGGGUGAAAGCAGGGGAUCUUCGGACCUUGCGCGAUUGAAUGAGCCGAUGUCGGAUUAGCUAGUUGGCGGGGUAAAGGCACACCAAGGCGACGAUCCGUAGCUGGUCUGAGAGGAUGAUCAGCCACACUGGAACUGAGACACGGUCCAGACUCCUACGGGAGGCAGCAGUGGGGAAUAUUGGACAAUGGGCGCAAGCCUGAUCCAGCCAUACCGCGUGGGUGAAGAAGGCCUUCGGGUUGUAAAGCCCUUUUGUUGGGAAAGAAAAGCAGCAGGUUAAUACCCCGCUGUUCUGACGGUACCCAAAGAAUAAGCACCGGCUAACUUCGUG
rnacentral:rRNA from 1 species